rnacentral:rRNA from 1 species
GACGAACGCUGGCGGCGUGCCUAUACAUGCAAGUCGAGCGAAGUUUUUCUGGUGCUUGCACUAGAAAAACUUAGCGGCGAACGGGUGAGUAACACGUAAAGAACCUGCCUCAUAGACGGGGACAACUAUUGGAAACGAUAGCUAAUACCGGAUAACAGCAUAAAUCGCAUGAUAUAUGUUUAAAAGUUGGUUUCGGCUAACACUAUGAGACGGCUUUGCGGUGCAUUAGCUAGUUGGUGGGGUAAAGGCCUACCAAGGCGACGAUGCAUAGCCGACCUGAGAGGGUGAUCGGCCACACUGGGACUGAGACACGGCCCAGACUCCUACGGGAGGCAGCAGUAGGGAAUCUUCCGCAAUGGGCGAAAGCCUGACGGAGCAACGCCGCGUGAGUGAAGAAGGAUUUCGGUUCGUAAAGCUCUGUUGUUAGGGAAGAAUGAUUGUAUAGUAACUAUAUACAGUAGAGACGGUACCUAACCAGAAAGCCACGGCUAACUACGUGCCAGCAGCCGCGGUAAUACGUAGGUGGCAAGCGUUGUCCGGAAUUAUUGGGCGUAAAGCGCGCGCAGGUGGUUUAAUAAGUCUGAUGUGAAAGCCCACGGCUCAACCGUGGAGGGUCAUUGGAAACUGUUAAACUUGAGUGCAGGAGAGAAAAGUGGAAUUCCUAGUGUAGCGGUGAAAUGCGUAGAGAUUAGGAGGAACACCAGUGGCGAAGGCGGCUUUUUGGCCUGUAACUAACACUGAGGCGCGAAAGCGUGGGGAGCAAACAGG